GUUGGAUCUGAGUCGCAUGUGGUGGUUCGCCUUUGGUGUUGCGUGUUUUAAUCGCUGUUGCGACUAUUUGCUGGUUUUCUACUGAAGUUCCGGCUUCUUUAGUGGCUAGCGAGUCUACUUUGAAUAAAUUAGAGUGCUCAGAACAAGCGUUUGCUUGAAUGCUCGAUCAUAGAAUAAUAAAAGAGGAUUUCGGUUCUAUUUAUUGGUUCAGGAACUGAAUUAAUGGUUAAGAGGGACAAUUCGGGGGCAUUCGUAUCCCUGGGCGAGAGGUCAAAUUCGUGGAUCGCAGGGGGACGCCCUUUCCCACUUUGCUUUUCACGAU
rnacentral:ncRNA from 1 species